AUAUAUCGAAGAUGCAGUAUUCUAGUCAAUCCACAUAGUGAGGAAGACGAAAUUCAUAGCGUCGAAGGGCACAUCGAUGAAGUUCCUGGUGCGUGCUUUGGUUGCCCAAACUGGGGUGCGUGCUGGGAGUUAAGAUUUUUGGGCGGGCUAUAACGGCAUAUAGUUAGCGACCCAAUUAUCGUGGAGACCCAACAGGGUGGUAAAACACUCUCUGGGGAGAACCUGCAUUGCGGUAAAAGCCGUGUGCAGUGUAGCCUACUUUGAGUGAAUAUAUUGGGAUAAAAUGUAUACAUAUAAUGUGCUAUUGGCCGAUAGGACUUUAUAUCUGUUUUUGAAAUUGUAUUUGCAAAACAAGAAAAUCAUUAUGUGCUUGCUAAGGAAAACUUCUAGACUGUUGCUUUUUGCAGGCAAGAUUAGGAUUAUAGUGUGUUCUUAGUGGCGAUUCGGUGUUAUGUCUCGCUUGAAAGGAAACUGCUCAAAUGGCGACAUUGAGUGCGGGGCUGGGAAAUCCGACCGAACCUAUGACACAAGGUUUACUAAUUUUGUUGUCUU
rnacentral:sRNA from 1 species